AACUAGUAUUAGAGGCACUGCCUGCCCAGUGACAAUCGUUAAACGGCCGCGGUAUCUUGACCGUGCAAAGGUAGCAUAAUCACUUGUUCUCUAAAUAAGGACUUGUAUGAAUGGCCACACGAGGGUUUUACUGUCUCUUACUCCUAAUCAGUGAAAUUGACCUCCCCGUGAAGAGGCGGGGAUAACACAAUAAGACGAGAAGACCCUAUGGAGCUUCAAUUAAUCAACUCAAAAAGCAUAAAACAAUACCACCAAGGGAUAACAAAGCUUUAUAUGAGCUGACAAUUUCGGUUGGGGUGACCUCGGAGUAUAAAAAACCCUCCGAGUGAUUAAAACUUAGGCCUACUAGCCAAAGUACAGUAUCACAUAUUGAUCCAAAAUUUUGAUCAACGGAACAAGUUACCCUAGGGAUAACAGCGCAAUCCUAUUCUAGAGUCCAUAUCGACAAUAGGGUUUACGACCUCGAUGUUGGAUCAGGACAUCCUAAUGGUGCAGCAGCUAUUAAGGGUUCGUUUGUU
rnacentral:rRNA from 1 species